UGAUACUGCAGAGUGGUUGAGGAAAGAGAGAGAGACAGGAGGAGAAUGAUACUGCAGAGUGGUUGAGGAAAGAGAGAGAGAGACAGGAGGAGAAUGAUACUGCAGAGUGGUUGAGGAAAGAGAGAGAGACAGGAGGAGAAUGAUACUGCAGAGUGGUUGAGGAAAGAGAGAGGCAGGAGGAGAAUGAUACUGCAGAGUGGUUGAGGAAAGAGAGAGACAGGAGGAGAAUGAUACUGCAGUGUGGUUGAGGAAAGAGAGAGAGGCAGGAGGAGAAUGAUACUGCAGAGUGGUUGAGGAAAGAGAGAGAGACAGGAGGAGAAUGAUACUGCAGAGUGGUUGAGGAAAGAGAGAGAGAGACAGGAGGAGAAUGAUACUGCAGAGUGGUUGAGGAAAGAGAGAGAGACAGGAGGAGA
ensembl:lncRNA